rnacentral:rRNA from 1 species
ACCUACGGGUGCCGCGUUCGGAAUGAGUACGAUUCGAACCACCUAACGAGGAACGAUCGGAGGGCAAGUCUGGUGCCAGCAGCCGCGGUAAUUCCAGCUCCAAUAGCGUACGUUAAAGUUGCUGCAGUUAAAAAGCUCGUAGUUGAACGUUCGGGUUCCGCGGACGGGGCCGCCCCGCGAGGGACGGCGCCGCCCCGGGGCUCGUGAUAUCUUAUCUCGCCGCCCGUCGCGAGGCGGACGGAGGGAUGGAUGAGGUUACCUGGAAAAAAUCGGGGCGAUCUAGGCGGGCGAACCUCGCCAACGAACGAUCGGACAUGGGAUAACGGAAGAGGGCGUCGGCUCGACUUCGUCGGUUCCUCGGGCCGAGGCACGUACGGUGAAUAGGGACGGUCGGGGCCGCCCGUACCGGGUCGUGAGAGGUGAAAUUCUAGGAUCGACCCGAGACGAACUGCCGCGAAAGCAUUCGGCAAGGACGCUUUCAUUAAUCAAGAACGAAAGUCGGGGGC